rnacentral:lncRNA from 1 species
AAAUAAGGAAAGAAAAACUUACCUGCUGGUCCACGUAUCAGGCAGCAACAUCAAAAGAAGUUACACGCACAAAAUUGGAAGCUACACGCGGAGAAAAAGGAAUCCAAUUCCUUUCGGGUUUUGAUUUCCUAAUUUGUUUGGACUCAAUUAUUUUAUUUAGGGUUUCCUACAUCUAUAAAUAGGGCAUGGAAAUAAUUAUUUGGGAGGCCAAGAACCAAGAUACAAGACACAAUAUAAAUUUUCUUCUAGCUUAGGAACUUUGGAA